rnacentral:rRNA from 1 species
AUUGAACGCUGGCGGCAGGCCUAACACAUGCAAGUCGGGCGAGCGGCGGGCGGGUGAGUAAUGUAUGGGGAUCUGCCUGAUGGAGGGGGAUAACUACUGGACACGGUAGCUAAUACCGCAUACCAUCAGAUGAACCCAUAUGGGUUUAGCUUGUAGGUGAGGUAACGGCUCACCUAGGCGACGAUCCCUCACUGGUCUGAGAGGAUGAUCAGCCACACUGGGACUGAGACACGGCCCAGACUCCUACGGGAGGCAGCAGUGGGGAAUAUUGCACAAUGGGCGAAAGCCGGAUGCAGCCAUGCCGCGUGUAUGAAGAAGGCCUUCGGGUUGUAAAGGACUUUAAGUUGGGAGGCGUUACCGACAGAAGAAGCACCGGCUAACUCCGUGCCAGCCGCCGCGGUAAUAC